AUUGAACGCUGGCGGCAUGCCUAACACAUGCAAGUCGAGCGGAUGAAGGUAGCUCUCUCCCGGAUUCAGCGGGCGACGGACGGGUGAUUACUAGGUAUCUGCCCUGCCUUUGGGGAUAGCGUACCGAAAGGGGCCCUAAUAUAGCACACGUUCAGAGGUAGAAAGGGAGGGAUCUUCGGAGCUAGCGCUAUUAGCUGAGCCUAGGUCGGAUUAGCUAGUUGGUGGGGUAAAGGCCUACCAAGGCGACGAUCCGUAACUGGUCUGAGAGGAUGAUCAGUCACACUGGAACUGAGACACGGUCCAGACUCCUACGGGAGGAAGCAGUGGGGAAUAUUGGACAAUGGGCGAAAGCCUGAUCCAGCAAUGCCGCGUGUGUGAAGAAGGUCUUCGGAUUGUAAAGCCCUUUAAGUUGGGAGGAAGGGCAGUAAGUUAAUACCUUGAUGUUUUGACGGUACCUACAGAAUAAGCACCGGCUAACUUCGUG
rnacentral:rRNA from 1 species